UGGGAGGGCAGGUGAAAGCAGCCCCACCAGUACCUGGGGGAAAUCAGCAGGACUUUUGAGAACUCAUUGGGUAUAUAGAGGAACAGACUAAAGAAUAACAUUCAGUUUGGGCCAAUGGCAUGUAAGCAGAAGUGGUUGUGUACCAUCCCAGGAAGAGAUCUUUAGAGAGAGCCAGGCCUUACUCCAUCAUGCUACCUGGAGCGAAAACAGGCUAUCGAGAGUCCAGUCUUCCAUCGUAGACAGUGCUGUUGGGAGCCCCAUCCUUUUGGUGAGAGGAGUCAAACUGGAAGGAGAUGCAAAAUGGGAGCAAAGGGAUUCCAGAGGAAGAGAACAACGCAACCAGAGACCAGAAGUGUUCAGUGCAGGCAUGGCAUGGCCUGUGGAGCUGCAGCGCAUGAGACUACGUAGGAGAAAAGGCUGGGUGAUUAGGUGGGAUCUGCUUGUGAAGGGCUCUGAAGUUGGACCGUAUCUACUUUUGUGUCG
rnacentral:lncRNA from 1 species